ensembl:lncRNA PCA3 prostate cancer associated 3
UGGAGCCUGCUCCUACCGGCAAAUAAACGGACUCAGGGUCUUCACGAAUAUGCAGCACAGCCAGCUGGGAUCCAGGCAGUCUGUUUUUGGUCUCAGCCUGGUUUCCCUCACUUCUUCGAUCAGGAAGUGCAGAAAGCACUAUCUCUGCUGCUCUGCAUCCCAGAGAUUCAUCCUCUGGAGACCCAGCUUCCUCUAUUGUUUCAGCACUCUGGGCAGGUUCUGUGAGAUAAGACAAAUCAAAGGGAGGUGUGUACGGUGCCAGCGACUGCUUCAGAGAAUCUUCCUCCAAAGGAGGGUCACCACCAUACAGGAAGUGUUCAGGCUCUCUCAGUAAAUCUUCAUCGAUAUUCUGGCCCAUUACAUCAUAUUCAAAAUCACCCCACGAGGCUUCAGAUGAGCAGAUAUCUUGCUUCCCUAGGUCCCCAUCAACUGGCGUUUCCGGAUGGCCUUCGGAUAAUGUCAGUUUACUCAUGUCAUCUAUUGUUCCCGUGGAUGUGUUGAGACCUGAGGCAUCGCUGAAACUGUGGUCAAAGGCAGCUUCGCUUAUAUCCAGACAAGUGUCUGAGGCUAGCAAAGCAUCAGGAACCAAGGCAGGAUUCUCUGUGGAUAAAUGUGGAUCACCAUCAAACAAAGCUCUUGCACCAGGCUGACUUUCAGGAGAAAAGCUGUCUGAUAUCCAAGAACCGUCACCUUCUGGAGUUGGCUCUUGAGUUAUCUCUGGGACUGUCUUGUCUCUGGACAAACUCCUCAUCAUGUUCCACAAGGCUAUCUUUGCCAGCCCCUGACAAAAGUGAACUGGAUGAAUAAUUAGACAUGUUGGUUCCCAUGCCAUCAAGUC